AAAGUGACAGCUGCUCCCCGCGCGCAUCGCACGAACGCAGUCACUCACCCCCAGACACCCGAUUACAGCCCACUCAUGCGCAGCCGUACGCACCCGGGGGCCUCGGAUGCUCGUCCAUAUCCCCACAACCUCCUCCCGCGUGGUUUUCCAGACUCCAGCCCCUGGGAGCGGGUGGAGAGGAUAGUGGGGGAAGGGGACAAGGGCCGGCAGCGCUGGCUUCCGGACUGGGCUGUCUUCCGGCGGUCGUGGGAACAGCUGCCGUUGGCUCCCCGACCUCGCAUUCACCAGAGGAGAGGGUGCUGCCAAUACAGGGAAACAGGGCCACCCCGUUCCCAGGUAGCAAUGGGAGGUGAGCCAGGAACCACAGCUGUUACAAGCAUGGGUGGCUGGACAUGCUGAGAUCACCACAUUAGGGCGGGGGUCGCAGGGAUUUUGAUGUUUAGGGGAAAUCUGGAAAUCCAAAUAUUUAGGCAAAUUGACUUAAAUUGUGCUAAUGUUGGCGUGAUGUUGUGGGCGUCCCAGAUGUUCGGGGAGCCAGGAGUCCCCAGACUUAAGGAAAAUCUGGGUGUGCUCAAUUUGGGGGAGGAGCAUAACCCUCCAUUUUGCGGCGGCAGGGAGUCCCACAUUUGGGGAAAAGCAGUGAGCUUCUAUGUCGGCGGGGAAGACAGCAGCAAUCUCUGUUUUGAAACACAGGGAGCCCCGCUGUGCGGAGAUCCAGGCACCUUUAAUUCAGCAAGAGGGGCUGAAAAACCCUCCACAUUUUGGAAGAAGGAUCCAAACCCCUGUUUUAGGUAAAGAGAGCCCCCAACGUUUUGGGGGAUGGUCUGAAGGCCGCCAUUUGUAGGGACACAGAGCCCUGGUGUGCAGGUCUGGGCCAGCAGCCCCCAGCUGGAUUGGGGAGCCCACCCCCUCUACUGGUUUCCAGGAACAGCUGGGCCCAGCCUAGGUUGUACUGCUGGGAAGCGGCUGACUCAACCCCUCCCUGUGGCCACAGCUGGACCCCGGCCUGCCCCCUCCAGCGUUCACAUCUGGGCAGGGAUCCAGUCUUCAUCAGGGCUGAGAAGGGGACCCUCAGUCCCACAACUGGAGAACAGUGCCCCUCUGCCACUCCCCUGGCUGACCACAGCCACUGGGUGGACUCCAUGCAUCAUCACCAUGGAGGACUCUGGCAGGCCCCCUACAGCCCAGAUAUUGACAUCCUGCCAGGAACUCCUAGCCAGUCCCCCCUCCCUGUGUCUGUGUGUGUCUGAGUCCAUGUGAAAUGUGCUAGGUUUUUUUGUGUUUUUGAGAGAAAGGGUUUUGCUAUGUUGCCCAGGAUGGUCUCGACCUCCUGACUUCAAGUAAUCCUCCUGCCUCUGCCUCCUAAAGUGCUGGGAUUUCAGGCGUGAGCCACGGCGCCUGGCCAAAUGUGCUGGUCUUUGUAGGUGUGAGAUGGAGGAUCUGUGACUGUGUGUACACGGGCAUGUGUCCUGCAUCCAUUGUGUCAUAAGGCCUUCGAGUUUGUGCAACAGGCUGUGCCUGAUUUGAUGGGGGGGAGGGCUGGUUUCGGGGACUGGGGGAGGGGAAAUUUGUAACAUCCUUGUCGGUAACAUCCUUGUCCGUAACAUCCAGGUUGGGGCCGGGCUUGGUGGCUCGCGCCAGUAAUCCCAGCACUUUGGGAGGUCAAGGCAGACAGAUCACUUGAGGUCAGGGGUUCAAGACCAGCCUGGCCAACAUAGUGAAACCCUGUCUCUACUAAUAAUACAAUAAUCAGCCAGGCGUGGUGGUGAGCGCCUGUAAUCCCAGCUACUCAGGAGGUUGAGGCAAGAGAAUUGCUUGAACCUGGGAGGCAGAGAUUGCAGUGAGCCGAGAACGCGCCAUUACACUCUAGCCUAGGUAACAAAGCAAGACUCCAUCUCAAAAACAACAACAACCAAAAAAACCCAUCCAGAUUUUAGGGUGACUAGGGAACCUCUAGUGUGUGCCCCUGUGUAUCUCUGUAUGGUCCAGGCAGAGUUUGGGUGGGGCUCUCUCACUCCAAUUGCAUCUUCAUGUGUUGUGUGUCUGUGUCUACUAUAUACGUCUAUAUGGGACCUCACUUUGGGUCUAUAUCUGUGUCAUUCUUUUUUUCUUUUUCUUUUUUUGAGACGGAGUCUCACUCUGUCACCCAGGCUGGAGUGCAGUGGAGCGAUCUCGGUUCACUGCAAGCUCCGCCUCCCGGGUUCACACCAUUCUCCUGCCUCAGCCUCCCAAGUAGCUGGGACUACAGGCGCCCGCCACCAGGUGUGGCUAAUUUUUUGUAUUUUUAGUAGAGACGAGGUUUCACCGUGUUAGCCAGGAUGGUC
rnacentral:lncRNA from 1 species